CUGACGAGCCCUUUACUGACGCUAAAGCUCGAAGGUGCGGGUAUCGAACAGGAUUAGAUACCCUGGUAGUCCGCACGGUAAACGAUGGAUGCCCGCUGUUGGCGACACACUGUCAGCGGCCAAGCGAAAGCGUUAAGCAUCCCACCUGGGGAGUACGCCGGCAACGGUGAAACUCAAAGGAAUUGACGGGGGCCCGCACAAGCGGAGGAACAUGUGGUUUAAUUCGAUGAUACGCGAGGAACCUUACCCGGGCUUGAACUGCAGGAGAACGAUACAGAGAUGUUGAGGCCCUUCGGGGCUCCUGUGGAGGUGCUGCAUGGUUGUCGUCAGCUCGUGCCGUGAGGUGUCGGCUUAAGUGCCAUAACGAGCGCAACCCCUUUCGCCAGUUGCCAUCAGGUGAUGCUGGGCACUCCGGCGACACUGCCACCGCAAGGUGUGAGGAAGGUGGGGAUGACGUCAAAUCAGCACGGCCUGAACGGCCGUGGCUACACACGUUUUACAAUGGUGAGUACAGAGAGUCAGGCGUUGGCAACACCGCCUUAAUCAGGAAAGCUCUCCUCAGUUCGGAUUGGGGUCUGCAACCCGACCCCAUGAAGCUGG
rnacentral:rRNA from 1 species